UACGUAGGGUGCAAGCGUUGUCCGGAAUUAUUGGGCGUAAAGAGCUCGUAGGCGGUUUGUUGCGUCGGCUGUGAAAUCCCGAGGCUCAACCUCGGGUCUGCAGUCGAUACGAGCAAACUAGAGUGUGGUAGGGGAGACUGGAAUUCCUGGUGUAGCGGUGAAAUGCGCAGAUAUCAGGAGGAACACCGAUGGCGAAGGCAGGUCUCUGGGCCACUACUGACGCUGAGAAGCGAAAGCGUGGGGAGCGAACAGG
rnacentral:rRNA from 1 species